GAUGAACGCUGGCGGCGUGCUUAACACAUGCAAGUCGAACGAUGAAGCCCAGCUUGCUGGGUGGAUUAGUGGCGAACGGGUGAGUAACACGUGAGUAACCUGCCCUUAACUCUGGGAUAAGCCUGGUAAACUGGGUCUAAUACCGGAUAGGAGCGUCCACCGCAUGGUGGGUGUUGGAAAGAUUUAUCGGUUUUGGAUGGACUCGCGGCCUAUCAGCUUGUUGGUGGGGUAAUGGCUCACCAAGGCGACGACGGGUAGCCGGCCUGAGAGGGUGACCGGCCACACUGGGACUGAGACACGGACCAGACUCCUACGGGAGGCAGCAGUGGGGACUAUUGCACAAUGGGCGCAAGCCUGAUGCAGCGACGCCGCGUGAGGGAUGACGGCCUUCGGGUUGUAAACCUCUUUCAGUAGGGAAGAAGCGAAAGUGACGGUACCUGCAGAAGAAGCACCGGCUAACUACGUG
rnacentral:rRNA from 1 species